GGUGAGGUGGCCGAGCGGUCUAAGGCGCCAGGUUCAGGUUCACCUGAAUUCCGCUUGAACCCUUUCGAGGGUCCAAAUCUCCUGGUCUCGCAAGAGGCGUGGGUUCGAAUCCCACCCUCAUCA
rfam:Podospora anserina genomic DNA, chromosome 2.